UACUUGAAGGUCUUCCUUGUGCCC
rnacentral:piRNA from 1 species